CGGCGGACGGGUGAGUAAUGUCUGGGAAACUGCCCGAUGGAGGGGGAUAACUACUGGAAACGGUAGCUAAUACCGCAUAAUGUCUACGGACCAAAGCGGGGGACCUCCGGGCCUCGCGCCAUCAGAUGAACCCAUAUGGGAUUAGCUAGUAGGUAAGGUAACGGCUUACCUAGGCGACGAUCCCUAGCUGGUCUGAGAGGAUGAUCAGCCACACUGGGACUGAGACACGGCCCAG
rnacentral:rRNA from 1 species